rnacentral:rRNA from 1 species
UCUCAGUUCGGAUCGGAGUCUGCAACCCGACUCCGUGAAGCUGGAUUCGCUAGUAAUCGCGCAUCAGCCAUGGCGCGGUGAAUACGUUCCCGGGCCUUGUACACACCGCCCGUCAAGCCAUGGGAGCCGGGGGUGCUUGAAGUGCGUCGCCGCAAGGCGCGCCCUAGAGCAAAACCGGUGACAGGGGCUAAGUCGUAACAAGGUAGC